rnacentral:rRNA from 1 species
CCAGGUUAAUUCUGCCUGACGUAGAUGCUAUUCCCUGAGAUUAACCCAUGCAUGUUAUUGAACAUUUUUAUAAUCUGAAAGAUGGACGGCUCAGUAAUACUCACUUUAUUUGAUCUAUAUUGAAGAUAACUACGUUAAAGUGUAGAUAAAAAAUAUAGAGUAAGAGUGAGACCUAUCAGCUAGUUGUUAAGGUAAUGGCUUAACAAGGCAUUGACGGGUAACGGUAUUAUUUUGUAAUAUUCCGGAGAAGGAGCCUGAGAGAUGGCUACUAAGUCUAAGGAUUGCAGCAGGGGCGAAACUUGACCUAUGGAAAUAUUCUGAGGCAGUUAUGGGAAGUAAUUAUAAUUUUUUCGAAUUUUAAAAGAAUUUGAAUUGAUUAAUUGGAGGGCAAAUCAAGUGCCAGCAGCCGCGGUAAUACUUGUUCCGAGAGUGUGUAUGAUGAUAGAUGCAGUUAAAAAGUCCGUAGUUUAUGAUUAAGAAACAAUAUGAGGUUUACUGUAUAGUUGGGAGAGAGAUGAAAUGUGACGACCCUGACUGGACGAGCAGAAGCGAAAGCUGUAAACUUGUAUGUAUUUUUUGAACAAGGACGUAAGCUAGAGGAUCGAAGAUGAUUAGAUACCAUUGUAGUUCUAGCAGUAAACUAUGCCAACGAUGUGAUAUGUUUUAUUGUAUUACAUAAUAGAAAUUAGAGUUUUUUGGCUCUGGGGAUAGUAUGAUCGCAAGAUUGAAAAUUAAAGAAAUUGACGGAAGAAUACCACAAGGAGUGGAUUGUGCGGCUUAAUUUGACUCAACGCGGGGUAACUUACCAAUAUUUUAUUAUUUUGAGAAUCUUUUUUUUAAGAUGAGAAUGAUAAUAGUGGCGUUUCCAAUGGAUGCUGUGAAGUUUUGAUUAAUUUCAACAAGACGUGAGACCCUUAUUAUUUUUAUAAGACUGACAUUUAUAAUGUAGGAAGGAAAGGAUUAAAACAGGUCCGUUAUGCCCUAUGAUAUUUUGGGCUGCGCGUGCAAUACAAUAGAUUUAUUUUCUUUAUGGGAUAAUAUUUUGUAAGAGAUAUUUGAACUUGGAAUUGCUAGUAAAUUUUAUUAAAUAAGUAAGAUUGAAUGAGUCCCUGUUCUUUGUACACACCGCCCGUCGCUAUCUAAGAUGAUAAUUGUUGUGAAAUUAUAGAAAUAUAAUUAAACAAUAUGUAUUANNNNNNNNNNNNNNNGAUAUAAGUCGUAACAUGGUUGCUGUUGGAGAACCAUUAGCAG